AGGCUACCCCCGCCACCACCGAGUUGUGCUCACAAACCCACCCCCUCCCGCUUUCGUCUCUGGGAGAUGACGUAAAAACACAGCGUCUCAUUUAGAUUCGGCUUUCGAGGACCCACGCUCUCGUUGUGACUGACAAGCCCGUGCACCAAUCAGGUGCAGCUAUAGCGUCACACCGAGGACUGGGAGCGGGGAAUUGUAGACCUGAACGAGGUUGCAGAAGGUAUUUGGGUUGGUGAUUGGAACUGUGGUCCACUGAGUGUUAGCAUCUGAAGACUGUCUUGGUUCUUAGAUGUUGCUUAUCAGUGAUGCUGCUACUGGUUAUCACUGCACUUUAUCAAAUAGCAUCCCCAUUUCAAUUGAGAAUGAAGAGGUUCUUGGAUAAAGAACUUAUAAAAAUCAGCCUAGAAGAUGGACGUUUGGCAAGCCAUAAUAGACUGCUCCUUUCCCAGGUAUCUCCUGCUUGUUUCCUUUAUCUGUGAAUAGGAAAUGGCUUAAAGGCACCUGUGUGAUGAAGGUCCCAGGGGCAGCUGCCUGACUACUGAAUGCCUGAUUAUGUGUUAACAUGCUUUGUCAGAUAUUGGCAGAAUCUGUUCUCUUCUUUUGCCUUUUCAGCAAGGGUACCAUUGACAGGCUGGCUACCCAUUUAUAGAAAUGUUGUCCAUCAAACUGUGAGGAAGGACAAUAGUGUUUUUCUGUGGCCAGUGACUGUGGGAAACUUUUCUUUGGCUAUUCAGGCAAUUUUUGUAGCUUGCUCUGAAGAGGAGAGACUGAUGAGUGCAAAAAGUACAAUUAAGCAAAGCCAGACUUCAAUUGAAGGCUCUAGUGUAGUCUGCUGUUCUCCUUUUUUUUUUUUAAUUUAGAAGGGGGGAAAAACCCUAUGGGUUUUCAUGUUGCUGUGUGGCAUUCAGCAGGGGGCUAUUACAAUCCUAAAUUUUUUUUCUAGACCACCUAAUUCUAAGUUAAAAUUAAAUGUAAUGAGAGCCACUUGGAGUUCUGAAUAUUUUAAAGCAUAAUUCCCACAGAAGGGAUUCGACCUAAACUGCAGUGAGCAUCAGUUGGCUAAUUAUAGCUGCAUUUUAUAUUACAGCAGGUGUCAGAUGCAGUCAUCUCAAUAAAGUCCACAUAAUACUCGGGAAAUAACAAAGACUUUUCUUUGAAUGUGGGUACUAAUUUCUGCUAGGUGUCAUAUGAGCCUUGAUACUUCUUAUUGGCAUUAACAAGAGCACUGCAGCACUCAGAAAUGCUUUUUGCUUGGGAUGAAUUGAUACUGUAAAGCACUUACCAGUCAGACUUGACAGAUGUCAGUAGUUAAUACUAAUGUUGCAGAGGUCGGAAUAUAAUGCAAAGAGUCUUAUGUAAAUACUCUUAGAUGAUGGGCUGGUUUUGAGAAGGCGCCUGAGCACUGCACCAACUCACUUAAUGAAAGUUAAAUAGAUAGCAGUGGGGUAUCUGCUUUUACUUUGGCUCCUGCUUUAUUGCAAGUCCUCCAGAAGUGAAGGGCAGAUGGUAAGGCAGUAAACUAGGUGAACAAAUACACUGGACUUGGAUAAGGACUUGUUAUGUUCACAGCACUUUCCUUGAGCUUGUGUGGGUGAUUCAAAUUACUAAAGUUAUAGGUCAAAAGCCUGAAGAUAAGAGCUCCUGUGUAUAUCCCACAGAUAAAAAAUAAAUUUAAUUUAGAAAAUAUGUCUGCAACUGAAAAACAAUUAGACAAUGGCGUAGGCAAGACAAAUGUCUCUUUAAAAUCAUGGCAAUUGUUCCACACUACUCCGUACUUUUAGGAGUUCUACGGUUUGUCUAACCUAUUGUAAUCACAUUGGAUCACAGCAAGUGAGAUCAAAACAGAAGACCUAUUAAAAUCUUAUUACAAAAUAUCGAUGAGAUAAGACAAAUGUGAACUUUUUACACACAUGCCAUUCUGGGAUCAACACUAUUUAUUUUAAAUCUAAUUCAGAGGUAACAAAGCAAAGAGAAUUGUCCCUAAUUAUAUCUCCCAAAACAGUUUCGGGUUCUCAUUUUGGCAGGUUACAGUUUAUGUACAUCUCAUAGCAAAUUCUGUAGGGUGCUGUCAGCAAUUAGGCAGAAAUUGCCUUCAGUAAUUUAAUAUUCAUUUAGCAUUGGUUCAAUAAAUGAAUGAACACUGAUAGGAGCAAAGCACUGUUAAGCCCAGAAAUAAAAUCUAAGGUAAAACAGAAGACACAUUGUCCCUAGAGUGCUGACCAUCAGUUCACAAAAACAAUGUCCCUCAUAGCUGUUUUGAAGAUUUCUGUUAAUUUUUGUUCAGAUCAUAUAUGUUCAUGGAUUUUGAUAAGGUCCAGGACAAAAUUGUGAAAUAGUAUGACAAGUUGCAGAGAAAUCACUACAAAGGAGAACAAGUAAUCUGCUAAUGGCAAUAGUUUCCUUAUAAUCCUCAAUAAUGUUCAAGUGUUUUUAAUGCUUAAGCCUCAAUCGUGAAUAAAAAUUUUAUUUCUUAUUUCUUCUUACAUAAAUGUAAUGCUUAUUACAGAAAGUUUAGAAAACAAAUAUAAGAUACAGAAAAGAAAAUAAUCCAUAAUUCUAUAGGGACUCAUAACAUUAUUAAUAUUUUGGUUUCUUUCAUGUUUACUCUUUAUUCUUCAUUUAUAUACAUAUAAAAUGUAUAUGUACCUUCUUUUAAGGUGAUUUAUAUUUAUUUUGAGAGAGAGACUGAGCACAAGUGGGGAAGGGGCAGAUAGAGAGGGAGAGAAAGAGAAUCCCAAACAGGCUACACUGUCAGCACAGAGCCUGAUGAGGUGAUCAGUCUCACUAACGGUGAGAUCAUGGCCUGAGUUGGAAUCAAGAGUUGGACACUCAACCAACUGAGCCACCCAGGUGACCUAUAACUAUCUUUUGAAAUAAACCUUAUGGUAUACUAAGAAUAUCUUUUUAUACUAUUGUGUGUUCUUUCACAAUGCAAUUUUUAUUGAUUACAUAAUAUUCUACAUAAUAUUCUAGUGUAUGGAUGUACUAUACUUUCUUUUUAAAUUUACUAUUGCUGUACAUUUAGAUUAUUUCCAAUCUUUGUUUUAAACUCUAUUUUGUCCAAUAUAGGUAUCGUUACCAUGGCUUUCUUUUCACAUCCAUUUGCAUGAAAAAUGCUUCUCCAUCUGGUCACUUUCAAUCUGCAUGUGUCUUUAGGUCUGAAAUGAAUCUCUUGUAGGCAGCAUAUAGAUAGGUCUUGUUUUUUUAUCCAUUCUAUCAACCUUUGUCUUUUGAUUGGAGCUUUUAGUCCAUUUACAUCCAAAGUAAUUAUUGAUAGGCAUGUAUUUAUUGCCAUUUUGUUACUUGUUUAAUGGUUGUUUUUGUAGUUUUUCUCCAUUCCUUUCUUCUCUUGUUCUCUUCUCUCAUGAUUAGUUGGCUUUUUUAGUGAUACACUUGAAUUCCUUUCUCUUUAUUUUUUGCAUCUCUAUUACUGGUUUUUGAUUCAUGGUUACCAUUAGGUUUGUACAUAAUAUCUUCUGUAUAUAGCAGACUGUAUUAAGGUGAUGGUCACUUAAGUUUGAACCCAUUCUUUACUCCUUUCCUCCCCGUUUUAGGUAUAUGAUAUCAUACUAUACACCCUUUUAUUUUUUGAGUCCCUUGAAUUAUUUUUACAGAUACACUUAUUUUUACUGCUUUUGUAUUUCCUACUUUUCAUACUCUUACUUAUGGUCUUUCCUUUCCACUCAAAUGUCCCUUUAACAUUUCUUAUAGGGCUGGUUUAGUGGUCAUGAAUUCCUUUAACUUUUGUUUGUCUGGGAAACUAUCUCUACUUCUAUUCUGAAUGAUAGCCUUGCUGGAUAUAUACAUCUAUUUAGCGAAUGUUAUUAUGCUUGAUGGUGUUGCUGAGUUCCCUAAGUCUGUUCUCAUUUUCCAUAAUUUUUUUCUCUCAUCUCUCAUCUGUGGCCUUGUGGUAUUCAACUUCUCUGUACCUCAAUUUCCAUGUCUGAAGAGUAGGAAACCUUAUUAUUAGCUAUCAAUUACUAUCACAAUUUACAAUCAUUGAUCUACAUUAGUUGAAUUAAUAAUGCAUAAGAUGUUAAGAAUAUUAUUUUAAUAACUUUUUUUAGUGCCUACUAUGUGCAGGAUACUUGAAGGUGCUAAGAAUUCAGCAGUGAACAAAAGAGAUUUUUUUUAAAAAUCUCUGACCAAAAAUGACAAAAAAAACACAACACCCCAAAACAACACACACACACAAGGGGGAUAAGAAGGGAUGGAGAAUUCAAUGUUAAAUAGGAUAGUGAAAGAAAGCCUUGCUAAAAAGAUGAUUCUUGAGCAAUUAUCUGAGGAAGAGAGGGAGUAAGCCUUGCAAAUAUCUGGAGAAAGGGAGUUCUAGGCAGAGAGAACAGACAAUGCAAAGGUCUGGGAAAAGAUGCAGUGAUGGAUAAUGUAAAAGAACUCUGAUAUGUAGAAACUCUGAAAUGUAUAUGGGCCGUGGGUCAUGACUACACAAAAACAACACUGCUAAGUUAAAAAUUCAGUUUAAAAUGUUUAAAAUGCUGUGAGAUUAAUUGCUGGCAUGACAACAUGAGGUGUUCUUCUGACUUGCUCCCCAGUGAAACUGGUCAAAACUGGUCAAAAUUAUUUUUAAAAACUGGUCAAAAUUACAAACAACAAACAAAAACAGAUUAUUAAAACCUUUGGAAAUGAUCCUAAUGCAAAUAGCAAAUGAAAAAAACAUCCACUCAGGAAAAUCUAAGUUAAAAAAAAGAAAAAUAACUAGGUAAGAAAGGCAAGUGUAUGGUAUUUGAAUCAGACCACUCCCUCUUUCUCCCCUCCCAAAUCAGGGAGGCAGAGAUUCCCCCCCCCCAACCCCCCACAUACACUCCCCAGCUCUGAGCUGGAGGGCUUUCUUCCUGGGACUAGCAGGAUCCUAGCAUUUCUCACCCUGCCCCCAACUGCCUGUUGCUCAGGCUAAUUCCUGAAUGAGUUCAGGAAGAGUAGGGAUCCCUUCUUGUGUCCAAUCCUGCUUGUAGUAGAGAGGCUCUACCUUGGGAGUAGCAUCCUAGAAGGGUUGGGACCCUGAUAACCCUUACCCAAGCUCCUGACAUGGUAGCUCCCUACCAGAAGAAACAAGUUAAGAGGACCUCAUUGUCCCUCCUCUCAGCUCCUGGGCCCUUACUCAGAGAGUUUGUCUUAGGGGAGAGGCAGGCCAUGAACCAAAUACCUCCUAAUUUUUUCUCAAAGUAACUGUCUUCAUUUACAACAGAGACUGGAAAAAUUUAAGCCUAAGGGUGUUCUCAGAAAUAUUAGAUAUGUAGUAAAAGGCAGUUGAUAUAGCCAAGACUAAGGCUGGCUAGUUUGCAGGAGUGAAAGGAAAAUAAGACAGCUAGGAGGAUCCCUCCUGGGUUUAGAACAAAUAUCAAACACUGACAUCUAAAACUAUUCCUUCAAAAGAGCCACAAUUUGAUUGGAUCUGUUUGUACAAGAACUAAUUCCUUAGGGCAUUAUUGAAAACAGUAGAGCAAUCAGCCCUGCAAUUAGUGUAGUUUAACAGCUUGGUGUGGUUUGAGAUUGAGUGACUAAGAACAUUCCCAAAACUGUGCCUCCUAGAGGAACAACAUCAGCAAUGUAACAAUGUGGGAGAAAAAUAGACGUCACUAAAAUAAUCCAACCUGUCAGUAAAAAAAUAAUGAAAUAACAAGCUCACUAUAGGGGACAAGGGGUAGCAGUACCCAGAAUUGCUACAAUAUAGUAUCCAAAAUAUCCAGUUUCCAAUGAAAAUUUAUGAGGCAUACAGAAAAAUAAGAAAACGUGAUUCAUACAUCAGGGAAAAAAGCAGAUCUAUAAACUACCUUUGAGAGCAACCAGAUGACAAAUUAAUUUAAAAUAAUGAUAUUUUAAUAAUAUUUUAAUAAAUGUUAAUAGAAUAUUUCAAAGUAGGUUUUAUAUACACAUCUACAGAACUAAAGUAAAGAAUGAUUAAAGAAACAAAGGAAGGUAUGAUGACACUGUCACAUCAAAUAGGAAAUGUCAACGAAGAGGAAUUAUAAAAAUGAACUAAAUGGAAAUUCUGAAGUUGAAAAGUACAAUAACUGGAAUAAAAUAUUGACUAGAGAAUCUCAACAGAUUUGAAUUAGCAUAAUAAAGAAUUAGUGAACUUUAAGAUAGACUGAUAGAGAUUUUACAAGCUGAAGAACAGGGAGAGAAAAGAGUAAAGAAAAAUGAACAGAGCCUCAGAGAUAUGGGACACCAUUAGAUACACCAGCAUACAAAUAAUGGGAGUAUCAGAAGGAAGGGAGAAUAAACAAAAAUAUCAAAGAAAUAAUGGCUGAAAACUUCUCAAAUAUAUUGAAAAAUAAUAACCUCCAUACUCAGGAAGCUCAACAAAAUCCCAAUAGGGUAAACUCAAAGAGAACUGCAGGCACAGCAUAGUAAAAAUGAUGAAAGACAAGAAAAUCUUGAAAGCAGCAAAAUAAAAGAAAUUAGUCAGUUAUAAGGAACCUCAGUAAAAUUAUGAGCUGACUUUUCAGCAGAAACAAUAGGGACCAGAAGGCAGUGGGUUAAAAUAUUUAAAGUAGUCAAAGAUUAAAAAAAAAAAAAGUUCAACCAAGAAUUCUAUACCCAGCAGUGCUUUCAACAAUGAAGGCAAAAGAAAGACUCCCAAAUAAACAAAACUGAGAGAAUUUGUUGCCAGCAAACUCACAAGAAAUACUAAAGGAAGUUCUUCAAGCUGAGAGCAAGUGACCCCAGACAGUAAUGUGAAUCUGCACACAGAACGCUGGUAAAGGGUUUCUUGGAGUAACGCACUAGAGCAAGGAAAGUGCAUGAGCCUGGAUAUCAUAUUGUGUCAGAGAGUAAGGAAGUACUCAAAGAAUGAUGGGUCAUGUUAAAAGAACACACAAGCAAACUUGGAACUUCUACUGGUUAAAUCUGGGAUAAUUUGAGCACCAAAAUAACAUUGAAUUAAACAAUAAACCACAAGACCAUACUGACUAAAUAACUAAAAGUUUAAAUUUAGUUAUUAAAUAACUAAACUGAUAGAUGAAGAAGGAGAUAGUUACACAGUUUUAAAGCAUCUUUCCACAGAACACUUAAUAAUUACAUAAGGGAAAAGAGAUGUUACUUAAUUCAAAUUGUCAAUUUGAAUAUUAAUAAUAGGGCACACAAAUUCUGAGACAGCAAGCAAUAUGAAGAGCUCAACAUCUUUUUGUGAUAUUCUAGAAAAAGAUUCUUUACCUAAUCAUAAUGUAAUCAUAAGGAAAUACCAAACAAAUCCAAACUGAAGCACAUUUUAUAGAAACCCAAAGUGAGGAGUAUUCUACAAAGUAAUUUUCAAAAGUGUCAAGGUUACUGUUGUGGACAGAACCUAACAUGACCCCCCCCCCCACACACACACACACACACAAAGAUACCUGUCCUUUGGUGUCCAUGCCUUUGUGUAAUGGCCUUCCCUUCAGUUUCAGCAAACUUGUCACUUGCUUUUAACCAAUACAACAUGGCAGAGGUGAUGGGAUGUCAUUCCAUAAUUAUCUAUGAUGUAUAUAAGACUCCAUCUUGUUAGCAGAGGUGCCAGAAACUCCCCCUUACUGUCCUUAAGGUAAACUGCCAUAAAAUAAAUGGUAAUGUUAGAGAAGCUAACAUGGCAGGGAACUGUGGAUAGCCUCUAGGAGCUAAAAGUGGCUUCCAGCAAGAGACCUGAAGCAGCUAACAACCUGAGGGAACUUGGAAGCAGAUAUAUACCCACGGUAGCCUCUGAUGAGACCACAGCAUUGGCUGACACAUACAAUUCAGCCUGGUAAAACCCUGAAGCAUAGAAUCUAGUUAAGCCAGGCCUGGACUCUUGAUUACAUUUUAAAUUAUAAACAUAUAUUGUUUUAAACUACUAAGUUUGUAGCAAUUGUUAUACAGUGUAGAAAACUAAUAUAGUUAUAAAAGUCAAUUAAAGACUAAGAAACUUUCAGAUUAAAGGAUACUAAUGUGUUAGACAAAUGUUUGAUUGUUUUUUUGUUUUUAUUUUUGUUUUUGGUUUUGUUUUUUUAGAUGUUAUUUUUCUAAGUAAUCUCUAUACCCAACAUAGGGCUCAAACUCACAAACCUGAGAUCAAGAGUUGCAUACUUCACUGACUGAACCAGCCAGGGGCCCCUGCAUUGCAUGAUUCUGAAUUGGAUUCUUUAGACAAUUCUUUGGAAAACUUUAAUGGGGUCUGAGAAUUAGUAUGCAGUAGCAGUAUGUCAAUGUUCCUGAUUUUGAUGGUUAUUUUGAAGUUAAGUAGGUGGAAAUGUGGUAGGAAAUAAACACUAAAAGUUCAAGGAUGAAAUAAAAAUUAGUUAAUAAGUGUUUUUUCUUCACUUUGCCUAGUAAGAUUGACUAUUUUUCUAUUUAAUUAAAGAAGAGAAGCAUUGCUUCUGUCUGCCUUUCUCCUAAUAGAUAAGGAAGGGGAUAAAAUAGAGGGAAUUAAUAUUUAGUGAUCAAUUACUCUGCGGCAGAACUAUAAUAUCCAAUUCACAUGAAUUACCUUAAUUUAAUCCUUAUAACACAUGCUAAAGUAAAUAUCAUUAUUCCUAUUUUAUAGGUCAGGUGGAUUAGAUUGUCAUUCCCAAUUCUGCUCUGCUUCCCUCUGCCA